GAUGAACGCUGGCGGCGUGCUUAACACAUGCAAGUCGAACGGAAAGGCUCCUGCUUGCAGGGCUCCUCGAGUGGCGAACGGGUGAGUAACACGUGGGUUAGCUGUCCUGCCCUUCGGGAUAAGCCUGGGAAACUGGGUCUAAUACCGGCUAGGACUAUGGGUUGUAUGCCAUGGUGGAAAGUGUUUACGGUGUGGGAUGAGCUCGGGGCCUAUCAGCUUGUUGGUGGGGUAUUGGCCUACCAAGGCGUCGACCGGUAUCGGGCCUGAGAGGGUGUACGGCCACAUUGGGACUGAGAUACGGCCCAGCCUCGUACGGGAGGCAGCGGUGGGGAAUAUAGCACAAUGGGCGCAAGCCUGAUGUAGUGCAGCAGUGUGGGGGAUGACGGCAUUCGGGUUGUAAACUACUUCCGCUAGAGACGAAGCGCAAGUGACGGUACCUGGAGAAGAAGCACCGGCUAACUCCGUG
rnacentral:rRNA from 1 species